UGUCCAACAACUCCUAUCUUUACCUCCACGUGGCACCGUCCGGGCUGCAAGCAACCUUAGGGAAGAUCGGGUAACCAACCCCGGUGGAAACUUUGGUUGUAGGCUGACAGGAGAGG
rnacentral:ribozyme from 1 species